CCUGGCUCCACUUCUCCUAGACCCAUUUAAAAGCUGACUACAGGGGGGAAGGAUCUCUUCUGGAGAUUCACUCCCCUGGAGUUUCAUAGUGAGCCCAGGAUGUGGCUCACAGGAACCUGUCCCUAAAUCUCAUCCCUUUAAUCUUCUGGCAGUUAAUUUAUAUCUAGUAGAAGUCCAGUGAAGAAAAUUGUGGAGAAGCAGAACUACACUGCAAUGAAGAAAUACUUAAAAUAUGUGCGUUAUCCACAGAAAACUGAGCCUGGUUCUGACUUUAGCCCAGAGUAAGCUGAACAAAAUGUUACUGGAAGCUGUGGAGGUGCGCUGUCAGGUCAUAUUGAAGUAUGGCUGUUACAGGGCCACAGCAGUUCAUGGGAUGGGACUGUGAAAGGAAGGAGGGCAGAGAAUUCCCACCGGUAAAGCAGCUGAUGUCACCAAAGAUUCAUGAGCACUUACACUUUCUCAGUGCUGCUACAGUUCUCUUACACAAAAUCAAGGGAAAUUGUUUUUCAAACAAGAACAGCAGCCUGCAAACAGACCUACAAGGCACUGGGAACUUUGAAGGACCUGAAAAGCCAUGAGUGAUGAUUCUCUCUGGGUGCCUGGCUCAGUUUAACCCACUCACCUGUGAAUUGCAGCACUGCACACACUGGAAAAUGAAGCAUAAAUGUCUGUGCCAUAAACACGGUAUUUUACAUCUUGACAUCCUGGAGGGCAUUUUGCAAUGAAUUCUGGAUUUAUUAUCUUCCCAGCCUUGACAUCGCAGUCAAUCUGAGGUAUGUCUGUGAGAGCAAAAUCUUGGUAAAGUCAGAUUCAAUGCUUUCAUAGCUGAAUGAUCUUGUCAUAAAAGAAUGAAUAACUGAAUGAAAGGCAUGCCCUCCUCUUAUGCUCUUACACCAAUGCUUUUAUGAUACAAGAAAUGUCUGUGUCCUCUGCAUCUACAAUAUAACACGUAACAAGCCUUGUGCCCAGGAUUGUGGCUGUAUGGAUGGAAUGAUGAAGUCUGAGGAUAUUCACCGAAUCAGAAUUGCAGGGGUUAAAAGGGAACUCUGGAGAUCAACUCCAACCCCUCUACAAAGCAGACUCCCUCCAUCAUUAUUUCUGAUCUUCAGUGUUUAUUUCUUUAAUGGAGAUAUGACUCUCUGAUGGAGAGAGAAAGAAACCUGGGCUGUGGUUACCACUGAGGAAGGAAGCAGUAGGGGAAGAGGUGGCUGUGAGUAGAGACCAGGAAAAACCAUGCACACAAGAGGCAUGAUGCUUCCCAAAUCUUCCCCAUGCUCUUGGAAUUCUGUGCCAUCUGUAAUGGUAGGCUGCAGCCACAUUCCAUUAUCUUCCCCUUUGUUUUAAAACUAUUUUUUGGGUACAAUUUACUUUGCACAGGGCAUUAAAUAUAAGUCAUCACCUCCCAGCAUACUCGUAUUUUGACUAAAUAAUGAAAACAGUCUGUAGAACUGAAAGUUAUGCAUCCUAAUGCAUAAGACAUACACAACCUCUCUCAUGCUAAAUAACUACAUAUGCUUUAUGUUACAGCAGAUUCAUUUCACAUAUUCAGAUCUCUUUCAAAAGCCUUAUGAUGACCCUUGUAUGGUGAGUGGGGACAAAUGAAGACACAUUUUAAUACUGAAAUACUCAGUGUCCCCUUCACUCACAGACCAGUAUCACACAUUAAUUCAGUAGAAUAACUUUUACUUAAUGUAUGUUUCCAUUGACUCUGUAAAGAACUAGACUUACUAGACUCUGUAAAGAAGAGAUACUAGAUUACCACCUCAGACAUUUUUAUGCAUCAGUCUUGCUUGCUGUAAAGCAGCCAAGCAUGUUAAUGGGAUCACUUACAUAGUUU